UCUUUAAGUCCUAAAGAUAGAACAACUUGACUAGAAAUAUGUCUUUAGAAUGUUUUUUCUCUCUUGAAACUUAGAUCUUUUCCAACUGUAUUCAAGUCUGGAGUUCUUCGGGUAAAAAUUAAUCUUCCUGUGGACUCCAGAGGGCCCAUGGGAUUUUCCUUUUGGAUUAGUUGGAUGGUAGCAAGAGGUGUCCUUUGAUCUUUAAGAACAGCUGCAAAAAGGAAAAAAGAAAGAAGAAAAAGUCAAGAUUGGCCACACUUAGGACUUUGGUGGAAUUACA
rnacentral:lncRNA from 1 species